GGCAGGAAUGGCACCAGCAACAUCACUGGCGGUGGAAGACAAAAGCAAUCAAUUUGUUCAAGGAAAAUUCAGUCAUCUAACUGAGUGACUCAGCUAACUGGCCACAUUUCAACUGUAUCUAUUUAUGGCACACGGAAAGAGAUCAUGCAGAUGGAGGAACGGAGGCCUGGAAUAUUUCAAGGAAGUACACAGAGUUGUUCAAUGGAGAACUGAGACUGGAACCUCGGUUUCCCCGGGUGUGGGCAUGGUAUCCACAUGCCUCUUGGACAUGAAAUCACCCUGAGUGCAGGGGCAAAACUGUACCUGCCACAAGGAGACAAGGAGAACAACUGAUCAACAUUUCUACCUAAUACUCCUCGGAACACCUGAAGACAGCUGUGAGCGCCAAAGCUUCACCGAGGCUCAUCUGCACUCAGCCAGAGUGGGCAACGUGUCUGCGCGCGUGCGCGCGUGCGCGCGCGAGUCUGCACCUGCGCAUUGCUGCCUAGCUUCAAUUCCCUGGCAGAUUCAACUUUCCAGGCCUGGACUCUCCUGCCUCGCCUCCAUUAACCCCCCAGAGGUCACCUUGUGAGCCGUCACUCCCUGCUCUUGGCUCGCCUGAUGCCCUGGCAUCUGAAUGCUGCUCCUCGCCUGCCACAGCUGCAUUCCUACUGGACGGAGCUUCACUUCCUCACCCAGGUAGCAGUGCAGUCCCCUCGUCUGCACUCUGCCUUGCUUGCCUGUUUUCAUUAGGCUGUGCCCUCAGUGACAAGGACGGCCUCCUUCCUCUUUGCAUCCUCGGCGUUCAGCAUAAACCAAGCCUUGGCUUUAGUCAGCCUG